ACCGUGCUAAGGUAGCAUAAUCAUUUGUCUUUUAAUUAAGGGCUGGAAUGAAGGGUUGGACGAGGUAUCAACUUUCUUUAAUUUAUUUGUAGAAUUUAAUUUUUGAGUGAAAAAGCUUAAAUUUUUUUGUUAGACGAGAAGACCCUAUAGAUCUUUAUAUUUUAUUUAUUUAUAUUAUUUAGUGAAUUAAUGUUUACAAAUAUUAUAAAAUAUUUGAUUGGGGUGAUUAUAGAAUUAAAAUAACUUCUAUUAUUUAUUAAUCAUAAAUUUAUGUUUGCGUGAUCCAAUUUUUUUGAUUAUAAGAUUAAGUUACCUUAGGGAUAACAGCGUAAUUUUUGCGGAGAGUUCAUAUCGAUGCAGGAGUUUGCGACCUCGAUGUUGGAUUAAAAUAAGUUUUGAAUGUAGCAGUUUAACAACUAGGUCUGUUCGACCUUUUAAUUUUUACA
rnacentral:rRNA from 1 species